rnacentral:rRNA from 1 species
AACGAACGCUGGCGGCAGGCCUAACACAUGCAAGUCGAGCGCGCCUUCGGGUGAGCGGCGGACGGGUGAGUAACGCGUGGGAAUAUGCCCUUCUCUACGGAAUAGUCCUGGGAAACUGGGGGUAAUACCGUAUACGCCCUUUGGGGGAAAGAUUUAUCGGGGAAGGAUUAGCCCGCGUUGGAUUAGGUAGUUGGUGGGGUAAUGGCCUACCAAGCCGACGAUCCAUAGCUGGUUUGAGAGGAUGAUCAGCCACACUGGGACUGAGACACGGCCCAGACUCCUACGGGAAGCAGCAGUGGGGAAUCUUAGACAAUGGGGGCAACCCUGAUCGAGCCAUGCCGCGUGAGUGAUGAAGGCCUUAGGGUUGUAAAGCUCUUUCAGCUGGGAAGAUAAUGACGGUACCAGCAGAAGAAGCCCCGGCUAACUCCGUG